AAGCAUAUCAAUAAGCGGAGGAAAAGAAACUAACAAGGAUUCCCCUAGUAACUGCGAGUGAAGCGGGAAAAGCUCAAAUUUAAAAUCUGGCAGUCUCUGGCUGUCCGAGUUGUAAUCUAGAGAAGUGUUAUCCGCGCUGGACCAUGUACAAGUCUCCUGGAACGGAGCGUCAUAGAGGGUGAGAAUCCCGUCUUUGACAUGGACUCCCAGGGCUUUGUGAUGCACUCUCAAAGAGUCGAGUUGUUUGGGAAUGCAGCUCAAAAUGGGUGGUAAAUUCCAUCUAAAGCUAAAUAUUGGCGAGAGACCGAUAGCGAACAAGUACCGUGAGGGAAAGAUGAAAAGAACUUUGGAAAGAGAGUUAAACAGUACGUGAAAUUGUUGAAAGGGAAACGCUUGAAGUCAGUCGCAUUGGCCAGGGAUCAACCUUACAUUUGUUGGGUGUACUUUCUGGUUAAUGGGUCAGCAUCAAUUUUGACUGUUGGAAAAAGGUCAGGGGAAUGUAGCAUCCUCGGAUGUGUUAUAGCCCUUGGUUGUAUACAGCAGUUGGGAUUGAGGAACUCAGCACGCCGCAAGGCCGGGUUUUUAACCACGUACGUGCUUAGGAUGCUGGCAUAAUGGCUUUAAUCGACCCGUCUUGAAACACGGACCAAGGAGUCUAACAUGCCUGCG
rnacentral:rRNA from 1 species